rnacentral:rRNA from 1 species
GAUCAUGGCUCAGGAUGAACGCUAGCGACAGGCUUAACACAUGCAAGUCGAGGGGCAGCAUGAGGUAGCAAUACCUUGAUGGCGACCGGCGCACGGGUGAGUAACGCGUAUGCAACCUGCCCGAUACCGGGGUAUAGCCCAUGGAAACGUGGAUUAAUACCCGAUGGCAUAGUUCUUCCGCAUGGUAGAACUAUUAAAGAACUUCGGUCAUCGAUGGGGAUGCGUUCCAUUAGG